GAGAAAUUUUUCCAAUAUAGUAAUAGCAUUUGUUGAAAUCUUUGUGGUGGCGGCGGCCGCCACUUGUCCCCCAUUGACUCCAUCUCCAUUCAACUCUACAACUUCAACAAAAGCAGCUAAACGAAUGGAUUUUGUUUGCAUGAACGUCAAAAGACUCAAAACUAAUGAUUUCUGCGAUGUGCAAAUUACAUUGAUCCAGCUCAAACAGGAAUUUCGUACUCAAGGGUAGCACCUAACAACAGGACAGAUACUGUCCCACAGGACCCUUUUCCCCUCUUCAACCAUUAUGCCAUAUAAUCCAGCAAGACAUACUUUACAAAGUGGAAGAAGCCAACACGAUGAUAAUUCAUCACACACAUACAGCUACAAACUCAAUUGUGACCUGAACCCGUCAAAAGAACCCGUACACACGUACAAUACAACCCAAAAACGUUAUCAAAAUUGUUUCUCUUUUUAAAGAAGAUUAAACAGCAACACGAACACAAUUCAACGCCCAAGACCUGAAUUUUGGGCGAACAAAAUUUGAAAAACCAUAACCAAUAGAAUAUAAACAAAGGGCAACAUAUCAACUAGCAAAAAAUAAAUAAAUGGCCAACAGAUCUCUAAACACAUGAAUGAGCGCAAAAAAAAAUUGAUUUUUCAUUAUAAUCAAUCGAAUUCGGGAUACCAGGAGAAAACCCAAUUAUUCAUUAGCUUCCAAAUCCCAUAAACGUAAGCACGGAAAAAAAAAACAUUAAUAAA